rnacentral:rRNA from 1 species
CUACGGGAGGCAGCAGUGGGGAAUCUUAGACAAUGGGGGCAACCCUGAUCUAGCCAUGCCGCGUGAGUGAUGAAGGCCUUAGGGUUGUAAAGCUCUUUCGUCGGGGAAGAUAAUGACGGUACCCGAAGAAGAAGCCUCGGCUAACUCCGUGCCAGCAGCCGCGGUAAGACGGAGGAGGCUAGCGUUGUUCGGAAUUACUGGGCGUAAAGCGUGCGCAGGUUGUGAGUUAAGUCUGAUGUGAAAGCCCGGGGCUCAACCUCGGAUGUGCAUUAGAUACUGGCUCGCUGGAGGUUGGAAGAGGAGAGUGGAAUUCCCAGUGUAGAGGUGAAAUUCGUAGAUAUUGUGAAGAACACCAGUGGCGAAGGCGGCUCUCUGGUCCACACCUGACACUCAUGCACGAAAGCGUGGGGAGCAAACAGGAUUAGAUACCCUUGUAGUCC